ACAAGCUAAAAAGGGCGUAAGGUGAAUGCCUUGGCACUAAGAGCCGAUGAAAGACGUGAUAAGCUGCGAAAAGCUUCGGGGAGUGGCAAAUACACAGUGAUCCGAAGAUAUCUGAAUGGGGCAACCCACAUGAGUGAACCUCAUGUACCGUAUACUGAAUCCAUAGGUAUACGGAGGGAGACCCGGUGAACUGAAACAUCUAAGUAGCCGGAGGAAGAGAAAACAAAAGUGAUUCCGCAAGUAGCGGCGAGCGAACGCGGAGGAGCCCAAACCGGAAUGCUUGCAUUCCGGGGUUCGGACUGCGGACGUGACUAACGAGCCAAACAGAAUGGUACUGGGAAGACCAACCAAAGAGGGUGAAAGUCCCGUAAGUGAAGGUAAGGAAGCACAGCAGGAUCCAGAGUAAUACGAGACACGAGAAACCUUGUAUGAACGCGCGGGGACCACCCCGUAAGGCUAAAUACUCCUUAGUGACCGAUAGAGGAUAGUACCGUGAGGGAACGGUGAAAAGAACCCCGGGAGGGGAGUGAAAGAGAACCUGAAACCUUAUGCCUACAAGCUGCGAGAGGACAAUGAUACGUCAAGGCGUAUAAAGUCUGAUCGUGUACUUUUUGUAGAACGGUCCGGCGAGCCAUGUAUACCGGCGAGGUUAAGUUUUUGAGAAACCGAGCCGAAGGGAGACCGAGUGUGAAGAGCGCACAAGUCGGUAUAUAUGGGCCCGAAACCGGGUGACCUACCCAUGACCAGGAUGAAGCGGCCGUAAAAGGCUGUGGAGGUCCGAACACACAUCCGUUGAAAAGGGUGGUGAUGAGUUGUGGGUAGGGGAGAAAUUCCAAUCGAACCCGGAGAUAGCUGGUUCUCCCCGAAAUAGCUUUAGGGCUAGCCUGAUAGCAUACCUGAUGGAGGUAGGGCACUGAACGUCUAAGGGGGCUUCACCGCUUACCGAAGACCAUCAAACCACGAAUGCCAUACAGGAAGAGCAUCAGAGUCAGACUGCACGAGAUAAGUUGGGUAGUCAAAAGGGAAACAGCCCAGAUCUACAGCUAAGGUCCCAAAGUACGUGUUAAGUGGAAAAGGAUGUAGGAUUUCAAAGACAGCUAGGAUGUUGGCUUAGAAGCAGCCACACAUUCAAAGAGUGCGUAAUAGCUCACUAGCCGAGAGGUCCCGCGCCGAAAAUUACCGGGGCUGAAACACGACACCGAAGCUUAGGGACAGAAUAUAUCUACGGGUAUAUUUUGUCGGUAGGGGAGCAUUCACAGGAGGAAGAAACCAUACUGAAAAGAGUGGCGGACUGCUGUGAAGGGAGAAUGCCGGAAUGAGUAGCGAGAUGAAGGUGAGAAUCCUUCAGGCCGAAUAUCCAAGGAUUUCAGGGUAAAGCUGAUCUGCCCUGAGGAAGUCGGGACCUAAGGCGAGGCCGAAAGGCGUAGCCGAUGGACAGCAGGUUGAGAUUCCUGCACCUGAGUAAAUCAGAAGAGCGAGGACACGGAGAAGUAGAGUCAGCCGGGAGAGAAGCCCGGUGCAAGCGAAGCUGCCAGUAGGGAGUAAAUCCCCUACGGAAGGCAGAUGCGUGAUGCGGAGCGAAAUAAAAGUAGUGAAGGACUUAAGGGAACCGUCGAGAAAAGUCGCUAUUGUGUUUACUCAGCCCGUACCGUAAACCGACACAGGUGGAUGAGGAGAGAAUCCUAAGGCCGACGGGAGAAGCAUUGCUAAGGAACUCGGCAAAAAGUCCCCGUAACUUCGGGAGAAGGGGAGCCUGCGAGAGCAGGCCGCAGAGAAGAGGCUCAAGCAACUGUUUAGCAAAAACACAGGUCUAUGCGAAACCGAAAGGUGAGGUAUAUGGGCUGACGCCUGCCCGGUGCUGGAAGGUUAAGAGGAGAGGUUAGCGCAAGCGAAGCUUUGAAUUUAAGCCCCAGUAAACGGCGGCCGUAACUAUAACGGUCCUAAGGUAGCGAAAUUCCUUGUCGGGUAAGUUCCGACCCGCACGAAAGGCGUAAUGAUUUGAGCGCUGUCUCAACAAUGCACCCGGUGAAAUUGAAGUACCAGUGAAGAUGCUGGUUACCCGCGCCAGGACGGAAAGACCCCAUGGAGCUUUACUCCAGCUUGAUACUGGGAUUCGGUAAUGUAUGCACAGGAUAGGUGGGAGACUGAGAGGAUAGUACUUCGGUAUUAUCGGAGUCGCUGUUGGGAUACCACCCUUAUGUUAUUGGAUUUCUAACCUUAGGCCGUAAGCCGGUCAAGGGACAAUGUCAGGUGGGGAGUUUGACUGGGGCGGUCGCCUCCGAAAGAGUAUCGGAGGCGCUCAAAGGUUCCCUCAGGAUGGUUGGAAACCAUCCAAAGAGUGUAAAGGCAUAAGGGAGCCUGACUGCGAGGCUGACGGGCCAAGCAGAGUAGAAAUACGGACUUAGUGAUCCGGUGGUAUGAAAGUGGGAUUGCCAUCGCUCAACGGAUAAAAGCUACCCUGGGGAUAACAGGCUGAUCACUCCCAAGAGUUCACAUCGACGGAGUGGUUUGGCACCUCGAUGUCGGCUCAUCGCAUCCUGGGGCUGUAGCAGGUCCCAAGGGUUGGGCUGUUCGCCCAUUAAAGCGGUACGCGAGCUGGGUU
rnacentral:rRNA from 1 species